UACGUAGGGGGCUAGCGUUGUCCGGAAUCAUUGGGCGUAAAGCGCGCGUAGGCGGAUCUGCAAGUCGGGGGUGAAAUCCCGGGGCUCAACCUCGGAACUGCCUUCGAUACUGCGGGUCUCGAGUCCGGGAGAGGUGAGUGGAAUUCCUAGUGUAGAGGUGAAAUUCGUAGAUAUUAGGAAGAACACCAGUGGCGAAGGCGGCUCACUGGCCCGGUACUGACGCUGAGGCGCGAAAGCGUGGGGAGCAAACAGG
rnacentral:rRNA from 1 species